rnacentral:RNase_P_RNA from 1 species
AGUGCAACAGAGAGCAGACCGCCAGAUGAACGCCUGUCGUUCGUCUGGUAAGGGUGAAAGGGUGCGGUAAGAGCGCACCGCGCAACUGGCAACAGUUGUGGCAUGGCAAACCCCACCCGGAGCAAGGCCAAAUAGGAAUCCACCAGAUGGGGUCCGCAUCGGAUUCGGGUAGGCUGCUGGAGGUGUCCGGUGACGGACAUCCUAGAUGAAUGACUGUCGCUGCCGGCCUGGCCGGUGGUUACAGAACCCGGCUUAUCGGCCAGCUCAUUUC